GACGAACGCUGGCGGCGUGCUUAACACUUGCAAGUCGAACGGAAAGGCCCUGCUUUUGUGGGGUGCUCGAGUGGCGAACGGGUGAGUAACACGUGAGUAACCUGCCCUUGACUUUGGGAUAACUUCAGGAAACUGGGGCUAAUACCGGAUAGGAGCUCCUGCUGCAUGGUGGGGGUUGGAAAGUUUCGGCGGUUGGGGAUGGACUCGCGGCUUAUCAGCUUGUUGGUGGGGUAGUGGCUUACCAAGGCUUUGACGGGUAGCCGGCCUGAGAGGGUGACCGGCCACAUUGGGACUGAGAUACGGCCCAGACUCCUACGGGAGGCAGCAGUGGGGAAUAUUGCACAAUGGGCGGAAGCCUGAUGCAGCAACGCCGCGUGCGGGAUGACGGCCUUCGGGUUGUAAACCGAUUUCGCCUGUGACGAAGCGUGAGUGACGGUAAUGGGUAAAGAAGCACCGGCUAACUACGUG
rnacentral:rRNA from 1 species